GGGCUAGUGAUCUAGUGGCUAUGAUGUCUCCCUUACAAGGAGAAUAUCGGAGGUUCGAGUCCUCCCUGGCCCA
rnacentral:tRNA from 1 species